GUGAUGAACUUAAAUGACCCAAGCCAGAGCAAUCAGCACUAGAUCGAGUCGAGCGGCUCUCAGCCAAUUAAAUUACGCUGUUUGAUCACAUGACCUCGUUAGCCAGCAGUGUGUCUCCUGAAAAGAGAGCUGUUUAGAGGUGAGGGAUUAAGUUUGUCUCCUAAAUAGAGAUCAUUACAGGACGCCUAGUCCUACUUAAAAUCCCAUUCAUUUUUCUUUUAUUUUAUCAUCUACUCGAACUGAGGAAAACGUUUGACUAACUCAAAGAAAAUUUCCGCGCCUCCCCUGCCUGUCUGCAGAGGCAGUUUUGAAUUCAGGAGCGGCAAACCCUGGCGGUUCUCCGGAUUCGUUGCAACCACGGAUGGGAAAAUGUGGAGGUUGCACGGCUGAUGUUUACUGUUCGUGGCACAGGAAGAGGCAGUUUCAUUUCAGGAAUGAGUGUGCACAAUCAAAGAAUAGAGCGACUGUGGAGAGACCUCUGGGUGGCCAUUACAUGCAUUUACUACGAUGUUCUUCACAACCUUGAGGAAGAAGGCCUUCUUGACAUUUCAAAUGCUGCGCACACCUUUUGCUGCCAUUACAUCUUUCUUCCUCGACUGGAGGAUGAUUUUAAUACAUUUUGCAGUGGAUGGGACAACCAUCCACUGCGAACAAAAAACAACACAAGUCCCAACCAGCUGUGGGAGUUGUGUCACAGAUAUCACCCUGUUCCUGUUCCAGAAAACACACAGCUUAUCACACAUUUGAUUUCCAUGUGUGACGACUGCAAGUGUCCAGAGUGAGGACAGAC